ACAACCUCACUUCCAUGUACAUACUAAAAUUCAAACAAUACAGAGAAGAUUAGCAUGUCCCCUGCGCAGGGAUGACACACAAAAUACAUGAAACGCGUUUAAAUCUA